rnacentral:tRNA from 1 species
GCGCCCGUAGCUCAGCUGGAUAGGGUACCUGGCUUCGAACCAGGCGGUCCGGAGUUCGAAUCUCUCCGGGCGCGCCA